UACGUAGGGGGCAAGCGUUAUCCGGAAUUACUGGGCGUAAAGCGCACGCAGGCGGUUCGCCAAGUUUGGAGUGACAGUUGUCGGCUCAACCGACAAAGGACUUCAAAAACUGGUGAACUUGAGGACGAGAGAGGAACAUGGAACUCCAGGUGUAGUAGUGAAAUGCGUAGAUAUCUGGAAGAACACCAAUGGCGAAGGCAAUGUUCUGGCUCGUUUCUGACGCUCAGGUGCGGAAGCCAGGGGAGCGAACGGG
rnacentral:rRNA from 1 species